AAAAUGCGAUAAGUAAUGUGAAUUGCAGAAUUCAGUGAAUCAUCGAAUCUUUGAACGCACAUUGCGCCCGCCAGUAUUCUGGCGGGCAUGCCUGUUCGAGCGUCAUUUCAACCCUCAAGCCCCCGGGUUUGGUGUUGGGGAUCGGGCUGCGGUUCUACCGCGUCCCGGCCCCGAAAUCUAGUGGCGGUCUCGCUGCAGCCUCCAUUGCGUAGUAGCUAACACCUCGCAACUGGAACGCGGCGCGGCCAAGCCGUUAAACCCCCAACUUCUGAAUGUUGACCUCGGAUCAGGUAGGGAUACCCGCUGAACUUAAGC
rnacentral:misc_RNA from 1 species